UUAGAGAAGUGCGCGCUCCUUUGCGCCAACUGCCAUCGAGAAGUUCACGCCGGACUGCAGCUUCCACAGGAAACUGUGGCUGUAACAUCGGGUGAAUUCAGGGAAGCCUACCCCGGAGUCGUCGCGAUUUCGGCACGGUAAUCCUGAGCGAAGCCUGCCGAAGGGCCAGCGCGUAGGCAGGAACGUGCAGAGACUAGAGGCUGAGGAGCCCAUCCAAUAAAGCCUCGCAAGCGCCCGACACCCUCCCUGGAUCCGAUGAUCGAGGUGGGUGAAGAGAUAGUCCGAGCCCAGUAGAAAUGCUGGG
rnacentral:ncRNA from 1 species